UACGUAGGGUGCAAGCGUUGUCCGGAAUUAUUGGGCGUAAAGCGCGUGUAGGCGGCUUUGCAAGUCGGAUGUGAAAGCCCUCGGCUCAACCGAGGAAGUGCGUUCGAAACUGCAGAGCUUGAGUACCGGAGAGGGUAGUGGAAUUCCCAGUGUAGCGGUGAAAUGCGUAGAGACUGGGAAGAACACCAGUGGCGAAGGCGGCUACCUGGACAGGUACUGACGCUGAAGCGCGAAAGCUAGGGGAGCAAACAGG
rnacentral:rRNA from 1 species